AUUUUUUUGUUAUAUAUUAAAAGUAAGGCCUGCCCAAUGAUUUUAAUUAAAUGGCUGCAGUAUUUUAACUGUACUAAGGUAGCAUAAUCAUUUGUUUAAUAAUUUUAGACUAGAAUGAAUGGUUUUAUGAAAAUAAAUCUUUCUUCUUAUUAAUAAUAAGAAUUUAUUUUAUCAAUUAAAAAAUUGAUAUAAAUUUAUAGGACGAGAAGACCCUAUAGAACUUUAUAUAUAAAGUCAAUAAUUAUUGACUUUAUAUAUUGUAUUGGGGAGGUAGAAAUUUUUUUUUAACAAUUUUUUUUUUAAUCAUAAAUUUAUGAUUUUAUGAUCCAAUUAAUAUUGAUUAUAAGAAUAAGUUACCUUAGGGAUAACAGCGUAAUUUAAUUGGAAAGUUCAUAUUUAUAAUUAGAGUUUGCGA
rnacentral:rRNA from 1 species